rnacentral:rRNA from 2 species
CGAAAUGCGAUACUUGGUGUGAAUUGCAGAAUCCCGUGAACCAUCGAGUUUUUGAACGCAAGUUGCGCCCGAGACCUUUAGGUUGAGGGCACGUCUGCCUGGGCGUCACACACAGCGUUG